GCUGGGCACAGUGGCUGGUGCCUGUAAUCCCAGCAGUUUGGGAAGCUGAGGCAGGUGGAUCACCUGAGGUCAGGAGUUCGAGACCAGCCUGGCCAACAUGGUGAGACCCCGUCUCUA
ensembl:misc_RNA Metazoa_SRP Metazoan signal recognition particle RNA